rnacentral:rRNA from 1 species
AUUGAACGCUGGCGGCAGGCCUAACACAUGCAAGUCGAACGAGUGGCGGACGGGUGAGUAAUGUCUGGGAAACUGCCCGAUGGCGGGGGAUAACUACUGGAAACGGUAGUUAAUACCGCAUACCAUCGGAUGUGCCCAGAUGGGAGUAGCUAGUAGGUGGGGUAAAGGUUCACCUAGGCGACGAUCCCUAGCUGGUCUGAGAGGAUGACCAGUCAACCUGGAACUGAGACACGGUCCAGACUCCUACGUGAGGCAGCGGUGGGGAAUAUUGCACAAUGGGCGCAAGCCUGAUGCAUCCAUGCCGCGUGUAUGAGGAAGGCCUUCGGGUUGUAAAGUACUUUCAGCGGGGAGGCGUUACCCGCAGAAGAAGCACCGGCUAACUCCGUGCCAGCAGCCGCGGUAAUUC